AUUGAACGCUGGCGGCAUGCCUUACACAUGCAAGUCGAACGGCAGCACGGGUGCUUGCACCUGGUGGCGAGUGGCGAACAGGUGAGUAAUACAUCGGAACGUACCCAGUAGUGGGGGAUAACGCACCGAAAGGUGCGCUAAUACCGCAUACGACCCACGGGUGAAAGCGGGGGACCGUAAGGCCUCGCGCUAUUGGAGCGGCCGAUGUCUGAUUAGCUAGUUGGCGGGGUAAAAGCCCACCAAGGCGACGAUCAGUAGCUGGUCUGAGAGGACGAUCAGCCACACUGGGACUGAGACACGGCCCAGACUCCUACGGGAGGCAGCAGUGGGGAAUUUUGGGCAAUGGGGGCAACCCUGAUCCAGCAAUGCCGCGUGUGCGAAGAAGGCCUUCGGGUUGUAAAGCACUUUUGUCAGGGAAGAAAUCUUUCAGGCUAAUACCCUUGGUAGGAUGACGGUACCUGAAGAAUAAGCACCGGCUAACUACGUGCCAGCCGCCGCAGUAA
rnacentral:rRNA from 1 species